CAGUAUGUUUCCAAGGGCUGUGGCUGGUUGUAGCCAUGGGAUCUCCAACUGUAUGGCAGAGUAACUGGAGAGACUCUGACAGGCCAGGUCAGCACAGUGCCUGCAGCUGCCACUCAGCUUUCCUAUGGAC